GACUCCUCACGUCUACCCCGGGCCAAGGAGACAGAAGCUCCUCUGGGGACUAAUGUACACAUGUUGUGACCCAGAGAGAGGUUCUCCUCUACAUAGCUGACCCAGAGAGAGGUUCUCCUCUACGGAGCUGACCCAGAGAGGGGAGGUUCUCCUCUACGGAGCUGACCCAGAGAGAGGUUCUCCUCUACAGAGCUGACCCAGAGAGAGGUUCUCCUCUACGGAGCUGACCCAGAGAGAGGUUCUCCUCUACAGAGCUGACCCAGAGAGGGGAGGUUCUCCUCUACGGAGCUGACCCAGAGAGAGGUUCUCCUCUACAGAGCUGACCCAGAGAGAGAGGGGAGGUUCUCCUCUACAGAGCUGACCCAGAGAGAGGUUCUCCUCUACAGAGCUGACCCAGAGAGAGAGGGGAGGUUCUCCUCUACAGAGCUGACUCAGAGAGAGGUUCUCCUUCUCCUCUGCUACAGAGCGUCCUGUGGCCCAAACAAAAUGUCCCUAAUCUCAGCACACGGUGAUAAUGACCACGGCCACAACACAGUGAGUUCAGUCCUUAUCUUCUGAGCUGCGUGUGUGUGUGUGUGUGUGUGUGUGUGUGUGUGUGUGUGUGUGUGUGUGUGUGUGUGUGUGUGUGUGUGUGUGUGUGUGUGUGUGCGUUUGUGUGUGUGUGCGUGUGUGUG
ensembl:lncRNA